AGGGAGGAUGAGGAGGAAGAGGAGGGGGAGGAAGAGGAGAUGGAGGAACGUGAGGAAGAAUCUGAACAAAGCGAAGAGGAAAUUAGAGAAACACCGCCUGGAAUACCUCCCAGUCCUAUUCUCUACGUGAGAAGGAGCCGAUGAUAAAAGACGUUACCUCAGAAAAACAUAAGCGAACAUCGAAGAGCCGCAGCGUGGAGGAGGACUUACUGCUCAAGAAAAUUUGGAGGAGGGGGAGGUGGAGGAGGAGCAGGAAACAGCAGGC